GGGGAUAUAGCUCAGUUGGUAGAGUGAUUGUCUCACAUGCACAAAGCCCUGGGUUCAAUCCCCAGCACCA
rfam:Ictidomys tridecemlineatus contig152022, whole genome shotgun sequence.